rnacentral:tRNA from 1 species
UGCGGGAUGGAGCAGCCCGGUAGCUCGUCAGGCUCAUAACCUGAAGGUCGUAGGUUCAAAUCCUACUCCCGCAACCA